rnacentral:rRNA from 1 species
AAUCAACGCUGGCGGCGCGCUUAACACAUGCAAGUCGAACGAGAAAGUGGAGCAAUCCAUGAGUAAAGUGGCGUACGGGUGAGUAACACGUGGAUGAUCUGCCCUGAAGUGGGGAAUAACAAUGGGAAACCGUUGCUAAUACCGCAUAUUCCCGAGAGGGGAAAGCAGCAAUGCGCUUCAGGAGGAGUCCGCGGCCGAUUAGCUAGUUGGUAGGGUAAUGGCCUACCAAGGCAACGAUCGGUAGCCGGCCUGAGAGGGCACACGGCCACA